rnacentral:rRNA from 1 species
UGGGGAAUAUUGCACAAUGGGGGAAACCCUGAUGCAGCAACGCCGCGUGAGUGAAGAAGUAUUUCGGUAUGUAAAGCUCUAUCAGCAGGGAAGAGAAUGACGGUACCUGACUAAGAAGCCCCGGCUAACUACGUGCCAGCAGCCGCGGUAAUACGUAGGGGGCAAGCGUUAUCCGGAUUUACUGGGUGUAAAGGGAGCGUAGACGGCUGGCCAAGUCUGAAGUGAAAGCCCGGGGCUUAACCCCGGAACGGCUUUGGAAACUGGCCGGCUGGAGUGCUGGAGAGGCAGGCGGAAUUCCUGGUG